rnacentral:rRNA from 1 species
CAGGCUAAUACCGCAUACGUCCUACGGUGAGAAAGGGGGCUCCGGCUCCCGCUAUUGGAUGAGCCUAUGUCGGAUUAGCUAGUUGGUGAGGUAAAGGCUCACCAAGGCGACGAUCCGUAGCUGGUCUGAGAGGAUGAUCAGCCACAUCGGGACUGAGACACGGCACCGAACUCCUACGGGCAGGCAGCAGUGGGGAAUAUUGGACAAUGGGGGCAACCCUGAUCCAGCCAUGCCGCGUAUGUGAAGAAGGCCCUCGGGUUGUAAAGCACUUUCAGCGAGGAAGAACGCCUGUCGGUUAAUACCCGGUAGGAAAGACAUCWMUCGCAGAAGAAGCACCGGCUAACUCCGUGCCAGCAGCCGCGGUAAUACGGAGGGUGCAAGCGUUAAUCGGAAUUACUGGGCGUAAAGCGCGCGUAGGUGGCUUGAUAAGCCGGUUGUGAAAGCCCCGGGCUCAACCUGGGAACGGCAUCCGGAACUGUCAGGCUAGAGUGCAGGAGAGGAAGGUAGAAUUCCCGGUGUAGCGGUGAAAUGCGUAGAGAUCGGGAGGAAUACCAGUGGCGAAGGCGGCCUUCUGGACUGACACUGACACUGAGGUGCGAAAGCGUGGGUAGCAAACAGGAUUAGAUACCCUGGUAGUCCACGCCGUAAACGAUGUCGACCAGCCGUUGGGUGCCUAGCGCACUUUGUGGCGAAGUUAACGCGAUAAGUCGACCGCCUGGGGAGUACGGCCGCAAGGUUAAAACUCAAAUGAAUUGACGGGGGCCCGCACAAGCGGUGGAGCAUGUGGUUUAAUUCGAUGCAACGCGAAGAACCUUACCUACCCUUGACAUCUACAGAAGCCGGAAGAGAUUCUGGUGUGCCUUCGGGAACUGUAAGACAGGUGCUGCAUGGCUGUCGUCAGCUCGUGUUGUGAAAUGUUGGGUUAAGUCCCGUAACGAGCGCAACCCUUGUCCUUAUUUGCCAGCACGUAAUGGUGGGAACUCUAAGGAGACUGCCGGUGACAAACCGGAGGAAGGUGGGGACGACGUCAAGUCAUCAUGGCCCUUACGGGUAGGGCUACACACGUGCUACAAUGGCCGGUACAAAGGGCUGCGAGCUCGCGAGAGUCAGCGAAUCCCUUAAAGCCGGUCUCAGUCCGGAUCGGAGUCUGCAACUCGACUCCGUGAAGUCGGAAUCGCUAGUAAUCGUGAAUCAGAAUGUCACGGUGAAUACGUUCCCGGGCCUUGUACACACC